rnacentral:rRNA from 20 species
AAAUUGAAGAGUUUGAUCAUGGCUCAGAUUGAACGCUGGCGGCAGGCCUAACACAUGCAAGUCGAACGGUAACAGGAAGCAGCUUGCUGCUUUGCUGACGAGUGGCGGACGGGUGAGUAAUGUCUGGGAAACUGCCUGAUGGAGGGGGAUAACUACUGGAAACGGUGGCUAA